rnacentral:rRNA from 1 species
CGCUGGCGGCAGGCCUAACACAUGCAAGUCGAACGGUAACAGGAAGAAGCUUGCUUCUUUGCUGACGAGUGGCGGACGGGUGAGUAAUGUCUGGGAAACUGCCUGAUGGAGGGGGAUAACUACUGGAAACGGUAGCUAAUACCGCAUAACGUCGCAAGACCAAAGAGGGGGACCUUCGGGCCUCUUGCCAUCGGAUGUGCCCAGAUGGGAUUAGCUAGUAGGUGGGGUAACGGCUCACCUAGGCGACGAUCCCUAGCUGGUCUGAGAGGAUGACCAGCCACACUGGAACUGAGACACGGUCCAGACUCCUACGGGAGGCAGCAGUGGGGAAUAUUGCACAAUGGGCGCAAGCCUGAUGCAGCCAUGCCGCGUGUAUGAAGAAGGCCUUCGGGUUGUAAAGUACUUUCAGCGGGGAGGAAGGGAGUAAAGUUAAUACCUUUGCUCAUUGACGUUACCCGCAGAAGAAGCACCGGCUAACUCCGUGCCAGCAGCCGCGAUAAUACGGAGGGUGCAAGCGUUAAUCGGAAUUACUGGGCGUAAAGCGCACGCAGGCGGUUUUGUUAAGUCAGAUGUGAAAUCUCCGGGCUCAACUCUGUGAACUGCAUCUGAUACUGGGAAGCUUGAGUCUCGUAGAGGGGGGUAGAAUCCCAGGUAUAGCGAUGAAAUGCGUAGAGAUCUGGAGGAAUACCGGUGCCCACAGGCGGCCCCCUGGACGAAGACUGACGCUCAGGUGCGAAAGCGUGGGGAGCAAACAGGAUUAGAUACCCUGGUAGUCCACGCCGUAAACGAUGUCGACUUGGAGGUUGUGCCCUUGAGGCGUGGCUUCCGGAGCUAACGCGUUAAGUCGACCGCCUGGGGAGUACGGCCGCAAGGUUAAAACUCAAAUGGAUUGACGGGGGCCCGCACAAGCGGUGGAGCAUGUGGUUUAAUUCGAUGCAACGCGAAGAACCUUACCUGGUCUUGACAUCCACGGAAGUUUUCAGAGAUGAGAAUGUGCCUUCGGGAACCGUGAGACAGGUGCUGCAUGGCUGUCGUCAGCUCGUGUUGUGAAAUGUUGGGUUAAGUCCCGCAACGAGCGCAACCCUUAUCCUUUGUUGCCAGCGGUCCGGCCGGGAACUCAAAGGAGACUGCCAGUGAUAAACUGGAGGAAGGUGGGGAUGACGUCAAGUCAUCAUGGCCCUUACGACCAGGGCUACACACGUGCUACAAUGGCGCAUACAAAGAGAAGCGACCUCGCGAGAGCAAGCGGACCUCAUAAAGUGCGUCGUAGUCCGGAUUGGAGUCUGCAACUCGACUCCAUGAAGUCGGAAUCGCUAGUAAUCGUGGAUCAGAAUGCCACGGUGAAUACGUUCCCGGGCCUUGUACACACCGCCCGUCACACCAUGGGAGUGGGUUGCAAAAGAAGUAGGUAGCUUAACCUUCGGGAGGGCGCUUACCACUUUGUGAUUCAUGACUGGGGUG